CUUCAGGCUGGUUUACGUUUAAUGUACGAUUUGUUAAAUCAAUAGUAAUCUCAUCACCAUCUUCAAUUAAGGCAAUUGGUCCACCAGAUGCAGCUUCAGGGGAAAUAUGACCAACUGCAAUACCUCUUGUGGCACCGGAAAAACGCCCAUCAGUAAUUCAUGCAACAUCUUUACCUAAGCCGCGACCAACAAUAGAGGAAGUAGGUGCUAA
rnacentral:sRNA from 1 species